GAUGAACGCUGGCGGCGUGCCUAAUACAUGCAAGUCGAGCGAACGGACGAGAAGCUUCCUUCUCUGAUGUUAGCGGCGGACGUGUGAGUAACACGUGGAUAACCUACCUCUAAGACUGGGAUAACUUCGGGAAACCGGAGCUAAUACCGGAUAAUAUUUUGAACCGCAUGGUUCAAAAGUGAAAGACGGUCUUGCUGUCACUUAUAGAUGGACCCGCGCUGCAUUAGCUAGUUGGUAAGGUAACGGCUUACCAGGGCAACGAUGCAUAGCCGACGUGAGAGGGUGAUAGGCCACCUUGGAAGUGAGACGGGGUCCAGACGCCUACGGGAGGCAGCAGUAGGGAAUCUGCCGCAGUAGGCGAGAGCCUGACGGAGCAGCGCCGCGUGAGUUAUGAAGGUCUUCGGAUCGUAAAACUCUGUUACUAGGGAAGAACAUAUGUGUAAGUAACUGUGCACAUCUUGACGGUACCUGGUGAGAAAGCCACGGCUAACUACGUG
rnacentral:rRNA from 1 species